rnacentral:rRNA from 1 species
AGUGGCGGACGGGUGAGUAACGCGUGGGUAACCUGCCUUACACAGGGGGAUAACAGUUAGAAAUGACUGCUAAUACCGCAUAAAACAGCAGCACCGCAUGGUGCAACUGUCAAAGAUUUAUCGGUGUAAGAUGGACCCGCGUCUGAUUAGCCAGUUGGUGGGGUAACGGCCUACCAAAGCGACGAUCAGUAGCCGACCUGAGAGGGUGACCGGCACAUUGGGACUGAGACACGGCCCAAACUCCUACGGGAGGCAGCAGUGGGGAAUAUUGGACAAUGGGCGAAAGCCUGAUCCAGCGACGCCGCGUGAAGGAUGAAGUAUUUCGGUAUGUAAACUUCUAUCAGCAGGGAAGAAAAUGACGGUACCUGACUAAGAAGCCCCGGCUAACUACGAGCCAGCAGCCGCGGUAAAACGUAGGUCACAAGCGUUGUCCGGAAUUACUGGGUGUAAAGGGAGCGCAGGCGGGAAGACAAGUUGGAAGUGAAAUCCAUGGGCUCAACCCAUGAACUGCUUUCAAAACUGUUUUUCUUGAGUAGUGCAGAGGUAGGCGGAAUUCCCGGUGUAGCGGUGGAAUGCGUAGAUAUCGGGAGGAACACCAGUGGCGAAGGCGGCCUACUGGGCACCAACUGACGCUGAGGCUCGAAAGUGUGGGUAGCAAACAGGAUUAGAUACCCUGGUAGUCCACACUGUAAACGAUGAUUACUAGGUGUUGGAGGAUUGACCCCUUCAGUGCCGCAGUUAACACAAUAAGUAAUCCACCUGGGGAGUACGACCGCAAGGUUGAAACUCAAAGGAAUUGACGGGGGCCCGCACAAGCAGUGGAGUAUGUGGUUUAAUUCGACGCAACGCGAAGAACCUUACCAAGUCUUGACAUCCUGCGACGGUUCUGGAAACAGUACUUUCCUUCGGGACGCAGAGACAGGUGGCGCAUGGUUGUCGUCAGCUCGUGUCGUGAGAUGUUGGGUUAAGUCCCGCAACGAGCGCAACCCUUAUGGUCAGUUACUACGCAAGAGGACUCUGGCCAGACUGCCGUUGACAAAACGGAGGAAGGUGGGGAUGACGUCAAAUCAUCAUGCCCUUUAUGACUUGGGCUACACACGUACUACAAUGGCGUUAAACAAAGAGAAGCAAGACCGCGAGGUGGAGCAAAACUCAGAAACAACGUCCCAGUUCGGACUGCAGGCUGCAACUCGCCUGCACGAAGUCGGAAUUGCUAGUAAUCGCGAAUCAGAAUGUCGCGGUGAAUACGUUCCCGGGUCUUGUACACACCGCCCGUCA